rnacentral:rRNA from 1 species
UACGUAGGGGGCAAGCGUUGUCCGGAUUUAUUGGGCGUAAAGAGCGUGUAGGCGGCCAGACAGGUCAGCUGUGAAAACUCGAGGCUCAACCUCGAGACGUCGGUUGAAACCGUCUGGCUAGAGUCCGGAAGAGGAGAGUGGAAUUCCCGGUGUAGCGGUGAAAUGCGCAGAUAUCGGGGAAGAACACCCGUGGCGAAGGCGGCUCUCUGGGACGGUACUGACGCUGAGACGCGAAAGCGUGGGGAGCAAACAGG